rnacentral:rRNA from 1 species
CAAUAGCGUAUAUUAAAGUUGUUGCGGUUAAAAAGCUCGUAGUUGGAUUUCUGCCGAGGACGACCGGUCCGCCCUCCGGGUGAGUAUCUGGCUCGGCCUGGGCAUCUUCUUGGAGAACGUAACUGCACUUGGCUGUGUGGUGCGGUAUUCAGGACUUUUACUUUGAGGAAAUUAGAGUGUUUCAAGCAGGCACACGCCUUGAAUACAUUAGCAUGGAAUAAUAAGAUAGGACCUUGGUUCUAUUUUGUUGGUUUCUAGAGCUGAGGUAAUGAUUAAUAGGGAUAGUUGGGGGCAUUCGUAUUUAACUGUCAGAGGUGAAAUUCUUGGAUUUGUUUAAGACGGACUACUGCGAAAGCAUUUGCCAAGGAUGUUUUCAUUG